GGUUAAGCGACUAAGCGUACACGGUGGAUGCCCUGGCAGUCAGAGGCGAUGAAGGGCGUGCUAAUCUGCGAUAAGCGCCGGUAAGGUGAUAUGAACCGUUAUAACCGGCGAUACCCGAAUGGGGAAACCCAGUGUGAUUCGUCACACUAUCAUUAACUGAAUCCAUAGGUUAAUGAGGCGAACCGGGGGAACUGAAACAUCUAAGUACCCCGAGGAAAAGAAAUCAACCGAGAUUCCCCCAGUAGCGGCGAGCGAACGGGGAGGAGCCCAGAGCCUGAAUCAGCAUGUGUGUUAGUGGAAGCGUCUGGAAAGGCGCGCGAUACAGGGUGACAGCCCCGUACACAAAAGCGCAUGUGCUGUGAGCUCGAUGAGUAGGGCGGGACACGUGGUAUCCUGUCUGAAUAUGGGGGGACCAUCCUCCAAGGCUAAAUACUCCUGACUGACCGAUAGUGAACCAGUACCGUGAGGGAAAGGCGAAAAGAACCCCGGCGAGGGGAGUGAAAAAGAACCUGAAACCGUGUACGUACAAGCAGUGGGAGCCCCACCACUAAGCCAGUGGUGAACUCCACAUACGCAUCCUUUGCUGAAGGCAAUGGUUAACGGAGCGAAAGCGACGUUCAACCGCAAAACAAGCAGAGGGGGCUUAGUGGUGGGGUGACUGCGUACCUUUUGUAUAAUGGGUCAGCGACUUAUAUUCUGUAGCAAGGUUAACCGUAUAGGGGAGCCGGAGGGAAACCGAGUCUUAAUUGGGCGUUAAGUUGCAGGGUAUAGACCCGAAACCCGGUGAUCUAGCCAUGGGCAGGUUGAAGGUUGGGUAACACUAACUGGAGGACCGAACCGACUAAUGUUGAAAAAUUAGCGGAUGACCUGUGGCUGGGGGUGAAAG
rnacentral:rRNA from 1 species